rnacentral:rRNA from 1 species
UACGUAGGGUGCAAGCGUUGUCCGGAAUUAUUGGGCGUAAAGGGCGCGUAGGCGGCGCGGUAAGCGUGCGGUGAAAGCCCGGGGCUCAACCCCGGGUCGGCCGUGCGGACUGCCGGGCUGGAGCACUGUAGAGGCAGGUGGAAUUCCGGGUGUAGCGGUGGAAUGCGUAGAGAUCCGGAAGAACACCGGUGGCGAAGGCGGCCUGCUGGGCAGUAGCUGACGCUGAAGCGCGACAGCGUGGGGAGCAAACAGG